rnacentral:rRNA from 1 species
CCUUAAUUCCAUACCACCCUGAACGCGCCCGAUCUCGUCUGAUCUCGGAAGCUAAGCAGGGUCGGGCCUGGUUAGUACUUGGAUGGGCUCCUUAAUUCUGAAGGAAGGCAGGGAUGGGGG